rnacentral:rRNA from 1 species
AUUGAACGCUGGCGGCAGGCCUAACACAUGCAAGUCGAACGGUAGCACAGAGAGCUUGCUCUCGGGUGACGAGUGGCGGACGGGUGAGUAACGUCUGGGAAACUGCCCGAUGGAGGGGGAUAACUACUGGAAACGGUAGCUAAUACCGCAUAACGUCGCAAGACCAAAGUGGGGGACCUUCGGGCCUCACACCAUCGGAUGUGCCCAGAUGGGAUUAGCUAGUAGGUGGGGUAAUGGCUCACCUAGGCGACGAUCCCUAGCUGGUCUGAGAGGAUGACCAGCCACACUUGAACUGAGAUACGGUCCAGACUCCUACGGGAGGCAGCAGUGGGGAAUAUUGCACAAUGGGCGCAAGCCUGGUGCAGCCAUGCCGCGUGUAUGAAGAAGGCCUUCGGGUUGUAAAGUACUUUCAGCGGGGAGGAAAGCGGUGGAGUUAAUAACUUCACCGAUUGACGUUACCCGCAGAAGAAGCACCGGCUAACUCCGUGCCAGCCGCCGCGGUAA